rnacentral:rRNA from 1 species
AGACCCGAAACCCGGUGAUCUAGCCAUGGGCAGGUUGAAGGUUGGGUAACACUAACUGGAGGACCGAACCGACUAAUGUUGAAAAAUUAGCGGAUGACCUGUGGCUGGGGGUGAAAGGCCAAUCAAACCGGGAGAUAGCUGGUUCUCCCCGAAAGCUAUUUAGGUAGCGCCUCGUGAAGUCAUCUCCGGGGGUAGAGCACUGUUUCGGCUAGGGGGCCAUCCCGGCUUACCAACCCGAUGCAAACUGCGAAUACCGGAGAAUGUUAUCACGGGAGACACACGGCGGGUGCUAACGUCCGUCGUGAAGAGGGAAACAACCCAGACCGCCAGCUAAGGUCCCAAAGUCAUGGUUAAGUGGGAAACGAUGUGGGAAGGCCCAGACAGCCAGGAUGUUGGCUUAGAAGCAGCCAUCAUUUAAAGAAAGCGUAAUAGCUCACUGGUCGAGUCGGCCUGCGCGGAAGAUGUAACGGGGCUAAACCAUGCACCGAAGCUGCGGCAGCGACACUUAAGUGUUGUUGGGUAGGGGAGCGUUCUGUAAGCCGUUGAAGGUGGCCUGUGAGGGUUGCUGGAGGUAUCAGAAGUGCGAAUGCUGACAUAAGUAACGAUAAAGCGGGUGAAAAGCCCGCUCGCCGGAAGACCAAGGGUUCCUGUCCAACGUUAAU